rnacentral:rRNA from 1 species
GAUGAACGCUAGCUACAGGCUUAACACAUGCAAGUCGAGGGACCGGCGCACGGGUGAGUAACACGUAUCCACCCUGCCCUUUACUCGGGGAUAGCCUUUCGAAAGAAAGAUUAAUACCCGAUGUACAGGAUGGGGAUGCGUGCCAUUAGGUUGUUGGUGAGGUAACGGCUCACCAAGCAUUCGAUGGAUAGGGGUUCUGAGAGGAAGGGCCCCCACGUUGGAACUGAGACACGGUCCAAACUCUGACGGGAGGCAGUAGGUAGGAAUAUUGGUCAAUGGGCGUUAGCCUGAACCAGCCAAGUAGCGUGAAGGAGGAAGGAGUAUGGGUAGUAAACUUCUUUUAUCUAAGAAUAUGUAUUAUAUGAAUACGGCUCGGCUAACUCCGUGCCAGCAGCCGCGGUAAUUC